UACAGAGGUGCCAAGCGUUAGGCGGAAUCACUGGGCUUAAAGCGCGUGUAGGCGGGUCGUUAAGUGUUCGCGUGAAAUCCCUCGGCUUAACCGAGGAACUGCCCUCCAAACUGCGUUGCUUGAGGCCGGGAGAGGUGAGUGGAAUUCCCAGUGUAGCGGUGAAAUGCGUAGAUAUUGGGAGGAACACCAGUGGCGAAGGCGGCUCACUGGACCGGUACUGACGCUGAGGUGCGAAAGCGUGGGGAGCAAACAGG
rnacentral:rRNA from 1 species